rnacentral:rRNA from 1 species
CCUACGGGUGGCAGCAGUGAGGAAUAUUGGUCAAUGGACGAGAGUCUGAACCAGCCAAGUAGCGUGAAGGAUGACUGCCCUAUGGGUUGUAAACUUCUUUUAUAUGGGAAUAAAAUGUUCAACGUGUGGGAUUUUGUAUGUACCAUAUGAAUAAGGAUCGGCUAACUCCGUGCCAGCAGCCGCGGUAAUACGGAGGAUCCGAGCGUUAUCCGGAUUUAUUGGGUUUAAAGGGAGCGUAGGUGGAUUUUUAAGUCAGUUGUGAAAGUUUGCGGCUCAACCGUAAAAUUGCAGUUGAAACUGGCAGUCUUGAGUACAGUAGAGGUGGGCGGAAUUCGUGGUGUAGCGGUGAAAUGCUUAGAGAUCACGAAGAACUCCGAUUGCGAAGGCAGUUCACUGGACUGCAACUGACACUGAGGCUCGAAAGUGUGGGUAUCAAACAGGAUUAGAUACCCUUGUAGUC